rnacentral:tRNA from 1 species
GGGCCUCUAGCUCAUGUCGGUUAGAGCAGCGGACUCAUAAUCCGUUGGUGCCGGGUUCGACUCCCGGGGGGCCCACCA